GACAGUGUCCUAAAUGAACAUAGUGGAGAGCAUGGGCAGGCCAAUGAACACACCUUAAAACAAAUGGCUUCCCCCAGAUGAAUGAAGGGACAUACUGUUUGCAAGCCUCAUAGUACUGAGAGGAAGCUUUUAACCUAUGACUUAUAAUCAUGUGCUGUAGUGUCAGCCUCAGGAAACAUGAAAUGCAACACUUAAGCCUCAGUUAUAAACAGAUGCUGUUUGGCUGCUUCCUGGAAAAGUGCCCUCCUUUCCAGGGGUGGAGGAGCUGGUUCAGUCUUGAGUUUGUCUUUGGUGAGUGUGGGCAACUGGGCCCACAAAUUGCCCAGCAGGAACCAUGCAUGUGCUGGGACACAUAAUUUCUGCCCUUGAAAGGAGACCGGGAGAGACUUGCCCAGGGUUCCCUGAAUCUCUGAGGAAGAAGCCAGGCUGCUUGUGCA